rfam:Ramazzottius varieornatus DNA, contig: Scaffold007, strain: YOKOZTNA-1.
GGGAUAGUAGUCUAGUGGUAUGAUUUCUGGUUUGGGACCAGGAGGUCCCGGGUUCAAUCCCCGGCUGUCCCC